GUGAAUCAUCAAAUUUUUGAACGCAAAUUGCACUCUCCGCGGAGAGUAUGCCUGUUUGAGUGUCAGCCCAUAAAAAAUCGACAUCGUUGCUGUUUCACUGUGACGUUCGUCGGGAAUGGGUGCAUCUUAGUUCUUUUUUGUUUAAGCGACUUAAAAUUUUCUUUUUGAUUCCAUUAAGUUGUUUCUAAUAUUUAUUUCUUUACACGUUUAAGGUAUCGAGUUUUAUUAGACGUGACCAUCAUAUCUGAUCUCGUCCAUCAUCUUUCAUUAACUGACCUUA
rnacentral:misc_RNA from 1 species